ACUGGCCUUGAAAUCAUGGGCUACCUGCCUUAGCUACCUAUAUGCUGAAGUUAGAGGAAUGUGUCACCAUACCUGCCUAAAAACAAUGUUCUUAACAUUUUUACAAAGAAAAUCGGAGUCUCUUACAUUGGGUGUCAUUUAUUAAAUAAGGAAUACAGUGGUUUCAGAAAAACCUUGAUUAAGCAUUCAUUAGUUGACGAGUAAAUUAUAUUGAUGAUUUUAACUUUUUAAACCACUUUCUCCAACCUUCUAGGAAAAACUUGUAUCAUUCUACUUUACAGUUUAGAAAACUAAGCAUGGACUGGAGAGUCGGCUCAGUGGUCAACAGGACAUCCUGCAUUCGCAGAGAAGCCGAGUUUUGUUCCCAGCUGUUCACAUUUACCUGACAAAUUUUUUUGAUACCAGCUGGAAUACUCACAAUGAAGAUUCAUUGAAA